UUUUAGGAUAGUGUGGAUGCACCCUACGUACCAAAACUUAGUAAAAAGGUAAAUAGAGAGAUCACAUGACCCCACAUUUUUGCACCAAAAAUGUACAAUCCCACUUAAAAAAGUACAAUUUCGACACCAUUUAUAGUACAAAAAUUUUUGCCCUUGUAACAACGCUGGCUCUGAACAGAGCAACAAAUGAACAAAUAACUACAUAAUGACUGAUAAUGAUAAGUGAUCAUAAUAACUUUAAUGAUAUGAAGGCUGAUGAAGGUAAUUAUAAACAUUAUUUUGAGUUUGUUUAAUAAAAUAUAGGAUACAAUAUAACUAAGCAAAAUCAAACAGUUUUAGACAACCAAUACAAGAUUUUAGAACUUGACAUCGUGAUAAACAAAUUGUACAUUCAGGAACUCGUUUAAAUAUUAUAGGUUGAUUGACGAAUACUCUACAGUUGAUUAGAGCCCAUGAUGAUGCGAAGAUAAUUAAUAUCACCUAACUUCAAGAAACCAACGUAAAGAAGUUUACAUUCAUAACUCAUCUAACCAUUAUAGAUCAGUAAUGUCGUCAUAAUUUAAAUGAACUCACAGAUAGCAAUGGGGCACUGCACCGAAGCAGUAUUAGAAAAUAUGUGAAAUAAAACUGUAAUACAAAUUGCUCUAUAAAAUUUAAUAGAAAUAAAUUUAUUUAUGAAAAUUAAGUUAUGAAGUUUUAUUUUUCCUAGGAAAAAAAUAACAUUUAUAUUUUGAUCAAUUUAGAACAUUACAGUUAAAAAAAUAUGUGUUAGAAUAACAUAUUUUUAAUAAAAUUGCAGCUUUUAAUUUUUAUACUUUUUUGCUUUUAUAUCAAUAAGAACUAACGUAAGGAACAAUUCAUAUUUAUACUAUGAAAACACAUGCAUAUUUUUUGAUGUUUUUAAAACCAGUGAAUGAUGUUGAAAUAUACUACACCUAUUAUUCUUAUUAACUAACUUUAAUUACAAACUUACACAUUAUUGUCAUUGGAAAUAAAUUAAUUUGGAUAUUCUA